GCCGCUAUGGCGCAGUGGUAGUAAGAUAUGUCUUAACCAAACGACAACAAUGCAACGCUGACACCUGAAAAAGACGCGUCGCACUUGUACAAUUACUGUCAUGCGAAGAUCCCUAGUUCAAUUCUGGGUGGCGGCA